ACCUUUGUGGUGUAACGUUAGCACACUAGGCUCCUAUUCGAGAGGUUCGGGUUCGAGUCUCGACGACGGCU
rnacentral:tRNA from 1 species